AGAGUUUGAUCCUGGCUCAGGAUGAACGCUGGCGGCGUGCCUAACACAUGCAAGUCGAACGGUUAAACCGCCUUCGGGCGGACAUACAGUGGCGAACGGGUGAGUAACACGUGGAGAACCUGCCCCCUCCCCCGGGAUAGCCGCCCGAAAGGACGGGUAAUACCGGAUACCCCGGGGUGCCGCAUGGCACCCCGGCUAAAGCCCCGACGGGAGGGGAUGGCUCCGCGGCCCAUCAGGUAGACGGCGGGGUGACGGCCCACCGUGCCGACAACGGGUAGCCGGGUUGAGAGACCGACCGGCCAGAUUGGGACUGAGACACGGCCCAGACUCCUACGGGAGGCAGCAGUGGGGAAUCUUGCGCAAUGGGGGGAACCCUGACGCAGCGACGCCGCGUGCGGGACGGAGGCCUCCGGGUCGUAAACCGCUUUCAGCAGGGAAGAGUCAAGACUGUACCUGCAGAAGAAGCCCCGGCUAACUACGUGCCAGCAGCCGCGGUAAUACGUAGGGGGCGAGCGUUAUCCGGAUUCAUUGGGCGUAAAGCGCGCGUAGGCGGCCCGGCAGGCCGGGGGUCGAAGCGGGGGGCUCAACCCCCCGAAGCCCCCGGAACCUCCGCGGCUUGGGUCCGGUAGGGGAGGGUGGAACACCCGGUGUAGCGGUGGAAUGCGCAGAUAUCGGGUGGGACACCGGUGGCGAAGGCGGCCCUCUGGGCCGAGACCGACGCUGAGGCGCGAAAGCUGGGGGAGCGAACAGGAUUAGAUACCCUGGUAGUCCCAGCCGUAAACGAUGGACGCUAGGUGUGGGGGGACGAUCCCCCCCCUUGCCGCAGCCAACGCAUUAAGCGUCCCGCCUGGGGAGUUCGGCCGCAAGGCUAAAACUCAAAGGAAUGACGGGGGGCCCCGCACAAGCAGCGGGAGCAUGUGGCUUAAUUCGAAGCAACGCGAAGAAUCUUACCAGGGCUUGACAUAUGGGUGAAGCGGGGGAGACCCCGUGGCCGAGAGGAGCCCAUACAGGUGGUGCAUGGCUGUCGUCAGCUCGUGUUGUGAGAUGUUGGGUUAAGUCCCGCAACGAGCGCAACCCCCGCCGCGUGUUGCCAUCGGGUGAUGCCGGGAACCCACGCGGGACCGCCGCCGUCAAGGCGGAGGAGGGCGGGGACGACGUCAAGUCAUCAUGCCCCUUAUGCCCUGGGCUGCACACGUGCUACAAUGGCCGGUACAGAGGGAUGCCACCCCGCGAGGGGGAGCGGAUCCCGGAAAGCCGGCCCCAGUUCGGAUUGGGGGCUGCAACCCGCCCCCAUGAAGUCGGAGUUGCUAGUAAUCGCGGAUCAGCAUGCCGCGGUGAAUGCGUUCCCGGGCCUUGCACACACCGCCCGUCA
rnacentral:rRNA from 1 species